ACUCCUUUACCAGCCAAAACUCAUUUACGUAUGAUUAUAACAUUUGCUGAUGUACUUCACAGUUGGGCAGUUCAGCACGUCGCCUUGUACACACCGCCCGUCACAUCAUGAGAAUUUAUUUUGCCCGAAAUUGUCUCUAUGAUAAACCAAUGACUUUGAUACGUUUCGCACGUAAAGUGCGCAUCAUGUUUUUCGCAUCGUUGAUCAUAGAGACUAUCACGGUAGAAUCAGUGACUGAGGUGAAGUUGUAACAAGGUAGCCAUAGGGGAACCUGCGGUUGGAUUGACUCAUUUCCAAUAUACAUACCCAGAUUUGAUUUAAUGUCGAUCUAAUUAGACUAGUUACCAAAGGCGAGAAGCACAAUUCCGAGUAUCCGAGUACUAUUGUAGGACGUGAAAACACCCGAUCCCAUUCCGACCUCGAUCCGUGAAUGGGACUGCACUUUGUGCUUGAUCAAACUUACGUAGUCACUACGUGAGAAGGAUUUCAUUUCUUAGCACAUGACGUUCUCCACCUUGGCAAAGGCUCGAAGAGCAGACGCUUCGCGUCUGAAUCCCACGGGUCCUUGGUCUACGCUCGGUGGUUUUGGGGGGCGAUUCGAUGAGGGACCUAGCUAACACGUUAAACACUCCGUCUGGGGAGUACGGUCGCAAGGCUGAAACUCAAAGGAAUUGACGGGGGUCUGCACAAGCGGUGAAGCAUGUGGUUUAAUUCAAUACAAUGCGCAAAACCUUACCAGCCCUUGACGUAUAAAAGAAACUCCUCGUAAGAGAUGUACUUUGACUUCAUACAGGUGUUGCAUGACUGUUGUCAGCUCGUGUCGUGAGAUGUUGGGUUAAGUCCUAUAACGAGCGCAACCCUCGUUUUGUGUUGCUAAGACAUCGCAUUGGUGUGCUGCACUCACAAAAAACUGUCAGUGAUAUACUGGAGGAAGGUGGGGAUGACGUCAAGUUUGCAUGACCCUUAUGGGUUGGGCUACACACGUGCUACAAUGGCAAUGACAAUAGGAAGCAAGGCUUUAAGGCGGAGCGAAUCCUGAAACAUUGCCUCAGUUCAGAAUGUUCUCUGCAAGUUGAGAACAUGAAGUUGGAAUCGCUAGUAAUCGCGGAUCAGCAUGCCGCGGUGAAUAUGUACUCAGGCCUUGUACACACCGCCCGUCACACCAUGAGAAUUUCUUUUGCCCGAAAUCGUCUCUAUGAUAAACCAAUGACUUUGAUACGUUACGCACAUUAAGUGCGCAGCAUGUUUUUCGCAUCGUUGAUCAUAGAGACUAUCACGGUAGAAUCAGUGACUGAGGUGAAGUCGUAACAAGGUAGCCGUAGGGGAACCUGCGGCUG
rnacentral:rRNA from 1 species